AUGGUACCAAGAACAAACAUUAGGAAAAACACCCAAAAGGUUCAUCAUCUCUGCCCCCUCUGCCAAGGCCCCAUGUUUGCGAUGGGCAUGAAACACAAGAAGUACCAGGACAACCUCAUGAUUGUCAGCAGUGCCUCCUGCACCAGCAACUACUUAGUCCCCCUGGCCAAGGUCAUCCACGACAACUUUGGCUUCGUGAAGGGACUCUUGACCACUGUCUAUGCCACCACUGCCACCCAGAAGACUGUGGAUGGCCCCUCUCUGGAAAGCUGUGGCGCGACACACAGUCCACUGGGGCUGCCAAGGCCAUGGGCAAGGUCAUCCCUGAGUUGAACGGGAAGCUCACAGGCAUGGCCUUUUGUGUCCCCACCGCCAACCUGUCCGUCAGGGACCUGACCUGCCACCUGGAGAAACCCGCCAAACAUGACAACAUCAAAAGGUGGUGAACCAGGCAUACAAGGGCCCCCUCCAGGGCAUCCUGGGCUACACUGAGCACCAAGUUGUGCCCUCCAACUUUAACAGCGACACCCACUCUUCCACCUUCGAUGCUGGGGCUGACAUUGCCCUCAAUGACCACUUUGCCAAGCUCAUCUCCUGGUAUGACAAUGAAUUUGGCUACAGCAACAGGGUGGUUGACCUCAGGGCCCACAUGGCCUCCAAAGAGUAAGAGCCCCCCGACCA